rnacentral:rRNA from 1 species
CUCUGGGAUAAGCGGUGGAAACGCCGUCUAAUACCGGAUACGACCCGCCACCUCAUGGUGGAGGGUGGAAAGUUUUUCGGUCAGGGAUGGGCUCGCGGCCUAUCAGCUUGUUGGUGGGGUAACGGCCUACCAAGGCGAUUACGGGUAGCCGGCCUGAGAGGGCGACCGGCCACACUGGGACUGAGACACGGCCCAGACUCCUGCGGGAGGCAGCAGUGGGGAAUAUUGCGCAAUGGGCGAAAGCCUGACGCAGCGACGCCGCGUGGGGGAUGACGGCCUUCGGGUUGUAAACCUCUUUUACCACCAACGCAGGCUUCCAGUUCUCUGGAGGUUGACGGUAGGUGGGGAAUAAGGACCGGCUAACUACGUGCCAGCAGCCGCGGUAAUACGUAGGGUCCGAGCGUUGUCCGGAAUUAUUGGGCGUAAAGAGCUCGUAGGCGGCGUGUCGCGUCUGCUGUG